AUGUCUGCAUAACCGUGUGUUAAAAUGAGAGCCAGCUGCUCUGCACGGGUGUAUUGGAACUGCUGAGUCGUCAGGCGGACGGAUACGUUCACAAGGCGGCUUUGAGAUUGAAAUAAUGUGGUAACACGAUUUUUCAGAAGACAGAGCGAAAGCCUGUUCAACAGAGAAGAUGCAGCACAUGAGGUGUAUGUAGAUGUAAGGCAUUCUGACCGACUGCCCCUCGCAAUAGACCGCCUCCGUGGGGAGGAAGAAGCCUGUAAGACCAUGUGUGGAAACAUGAGCCGCCACAGGUAGUCCGUAAGGACGCCCAGCCAAGAGGGGGUGCCGAUACUGUGCGGAGAAAUCCGUACAGCAGUUGAAGGAAGUAUACUGCCGUAAGGUACGUUAUCGGACUGCAAAUCCGACGAAAAUGGAAUUUAUUCUGAAUGCUGUGGCGGUAUUGCAGGUAUAAAUCCUGUUCGGGCUCUGGCAGCAAUGCAGGGUAAGAAGCAGCGGGUCGCUCCCGUCUGUUCAGACUUAUUCUCCCGAUGGCCGAAUACAUUGAGAAGCUGUCCAUGUAAGGUGAAUAAAAGCCUAUGCAGAUGUGUUAUA
rnacentral:sRNA from 1 species